rnacentral:rRNA from 1 species
AUGUCAAGGCUCAAGAGCGGGCUCCCCCAGCGGCGGCCGCGCCCGCGACGACCCAGCGCCACCGCCGCCGCCCCGCCCCUCCCUCGCCCGGCCAUCUGCGCGGGGCCGAGGGCGCGGCGCGUCGAUCCGGGGCGCGGGUCGCUGCCCGCGCCCGGCGGCGGGGGCGCGCGGGCGAUGAGGUCCGGCGGAGCGCUGCCCGCCACGGUCGGCCUCGCUUCACAGGCUGCAAAGAAUCUUGUAGCUAUGGCCGCGGCACCUUCAGCCCCUGCUUUCGGGGCAUUCGCUGCAAAUACACCUUCUGGAGCAGUUCGGCAGAUGACAAUUAUUAUUACUCUGUAUUCCACCGCGCCUUUUUGGUUGACUGUUGCUACCGAGGAAAGGGCACGGGGCGUGCACUCUGGUGCUGCUGCUUUUCUUUCUACCAAGAUCCAUAGGAGUGGCCCAGAAAGAGUUAUACACAACUUCAAAACGCUAAACCGAGGAAUUUCAAGUGCGGCAAGGGAGGAAGGACGUGUUCUUGGUACUGCUAGUGCACCCCAGUACACAGUAGAGAAGGACCUACUUAAAAAGCAGCUUCUGCGUACCAUCUCUGCCCUUACAGUUACUGGCUUUGCCAUAUAUGGCGUUAAGGUUAUGCUUGAUAGUGCCAUAGACACCAAAGUUAGCAAAUUCGAUGGUUUGAAAGAAGUAUUAGCCACAGAUUUAAGCACAAGAUUUAGUGAUGUAAAGGGGGUUGAUGAAGCCAAAGCUGAGCUCGAAGACAUAGUUCACUACCUACGAGAUCCCGAUAGUUUCAAACGCCUUGGUGGCAAGCUUCCAAAGGGUGUUUUGCUUGUGGGCCAACCUGGCACAGGGAAGACAAUGCUAGCAAGGUCGGUAGCUGGGGAAGCCGGCGUCCCUUUCUUCUCGUGCAGUGGCAGUGAUUUCGAAGAGAUGUAUGUUGGCGUUGGUGCUAGGAGAGUGAGGGAGCUCUUCAGAGCAGCAAAGAAGCGAUCUCCUUGCAUAGUGUUUAUCGAUGAAAUAGAUGCAAUUGGUGGGCGCAGAGACGCUGAAGGUUUAACGUCACAGAAGCCGGCUCUGAACCAGCUGCUUGUUGAGAUGGAUGGCUUCAAGCAGAAUGACGGGAUUAUUGUGAUCGCAGCAACGACCUUGCCGCAGUCACUAGAUAGCGCUCUUGUCAGGCCUGGACGUUUUGACUGUCAAGUUCAUGUUUCGGUUCCAGAUGUUGAGGGCCGCCGACAGAUCCUCGAGGCUUACAUGUCAAAGGUGAGUAAAUCCAAGGAUGUGGAUGCGAUGACCAUCGCAAGGGGGACGCCUGGGUUCUCAGGUGCAGCCCUUGCAAACCUAGUGAACACUGCCGCUCUCAAGGCUUCCAGGGAUGGGGCAAAUGCUGUUGGGAUGGGUCACCUUGAGUACGCCAUGGACAGGAUCAUCAUGGGCAGGGAGCGCAAGUCGAUGGUGAUAUCCGAUCUAUCAAAGAAGAGGACUGCAUACCACGAGGCUGGGCACGCCCUUGUUGCUAUCCUCACGGACGGUGCUAACACUGUCCACAAGGCCACCAUCGUGCCUAUUGGAAAUGCUCUCGGCAAGGUGACGCAGCUGCCAGGGGAAGACAGCCACCUCACAAGGAAGCAGAUGCUGGCGAGGCUCGACGUCGCCAUGGGAGGACGGGUGGCCGAUGAGCUUAUAUUUGGAGAAGCAGGGAUCACCACUGGUGCCUCAUCUGACCUAGGCAAGGCAACUCGAUAUGCGAAAGACAUGGUCGUCAGGUAUGGUAUGAGCAAGCGGGUCGGCCUUGUUACCUAUGGCAAUGACACCAAUGCUGCCCGUGGCAAAGCGAUGGCCAUGAGCGGGCGGACGAUAGGUCUGGUUGAUGAGGAGGUAAAAGCAUUAUUGGACAACGCUUACAGGAACGCGAAAAAGAUUCUCACGGAGCACAACAAGGAGUUCCAUGCGCUAGCAAAUGCCCUCCUGGAGCAUGAAACUCUCACUGGUGACCAGAUCAAGAAACUAGUUUUGACAGGACGGCAAGGAGUUGGUCGUAGCAGCAGCCGGCAAAAUCAGGGAACACCUUCUCUCACUGGUGACCAGAUCAAGAAACGAGUUUCGACAGGACGACAAGGAGAUGGUCGUAGCAACAGCCAGCAAAAUCAGGGAACACCUUCUCUCACUGGUGACCAGAUCAAGAAACUAGUAUCACCAGACCAACAAGUAGAUGGUGGUAACAAUAGCGAUCAGGGAACGUCUUCUCUCUCUGGGGACGAGAGCACCAAAUCAAUGUCAACAGAAGAACAAGGAGAUGGUCCUAGCAGCAGCCAGCAUAAUGAGGGAGCACCGUCUAUCACUGGUGAGGAGGCCACAAAACUAGUUUCGACAGAACAACAAGCAGAUAGUUAUAGCGGUAGCCAGCAGGAUGAGGGAACACCUUCUCUCACGCGCAACGAGGGCGCCAACCAGUGA